rnacentral:pre_miRNA from 1 species
AUAUGAAGGAAAGAGGUGGAUUUGGAUAUAUUGGUUGUUGACAGAAGAUAGAGAGCACAGAUGAUCUGGGAUGUCUCGAACCAUAUAUAUAUAUAUCUGCAUCUCCAUCCUUUGUGCUCUCUAGUCUUCUGUCAUCACCUUCAUCCAUCCUAGCUUUCUUUUGUGU